rnacentral:misc_RNA from 1 species
GGCUGACCAGCUGACUGAGGAACAG